rnacentral:rRNA from 1 species
AUGUCCAUUCCCCUGCCCUUGUAUCUCGGCUUCUCCCACCCCAGCGCAAUCCACGUCUUCCUCACUGUCCCUGUCCUCCUUCAGCUCGUUGCUAUGGGGGAACCACCCCACGGCCACGGGCGAGACGGGGCAAGCUCCACCUCCAAUCUCUUCACCCAAAUUAUUACCGAAGCGAACACGUCGUGUUCCACUUCCUCAAAAGUUCUAUUUGAUCUGGGACCAGACCAAUUCCAAUUUGGCAUGAUGCCCUACCCCUGCGGCGGGGGCGGUGUUCGUGUUCCGUAUGAACCGAGGACACGAAAAUUGUUGCCCGGUACUACACAUGGCCAGGUUGUGACUGGGAGAGCGGCGAAGGAACUGCAGCACGCUGCAACCCGCGGCCACGGGAAGCUCGCAUCGCCGUCAUCGUCCUGGCUGAAGCUAGCAGCCAUCGCAGCUUCAGCUUUGGCAGGCUUGAUCUGCGCCAUAACAGGGCUCGUGCUCUGCUGUAUCCGUAGCAAGAGGACGCGGCAGAGCACAUCGGCUAUCAUAACCGAACCUGAACCUCAUCGAGGACCGGGGCCUAGGGAGUUCCGCUAUGCCGAGCUUGCCGCCGCGACUUGCAACUUUGCAGAGGAGAACAAGAUCGGGAGAGGGGGCUUUGGUCCGGUCUACAAAGGCUACCUGAGAGAACAGGACCGUCAUGUGGCCAUCAAGACACUCUAUGUCUCAGUCUCAGAGGAGCAGCCCUCGCAGGGUUUCAAGGAGUUCCAGGCGGAGAUAACCGUCCUGAGCCAGCUCAGGCACCACAACAUUGUCCAGCUCGUCGGCUGGUGGUGCGGUCGCCGGAGACGGCGGAGAGGACGGCAGCUAGCGCUCGUCUACGAGCUCAUGCCCGGCGGCAGCCUCGACACGCACCUCUACAACCCUGACAAGCACUUAACUUGGCCAGAGAGGUACGAGAUCGCGCUGGGACUGGGCUCCGCCUUGCGGUACCUCCACACGGAGUGCGACCGGUGCAUCGUGCACGGGGACAUAAAGCCCGCGAACGUGAUGCUCGACGCGUCGGGCAACGCUAAGCUCGGUGACUUCGGGCUGGCGAGGCUCAUCGACCAUGGCGCCGAGCCACGGACGACACAAGCCGUGGCAGGCACCGUCGGGUACAUAGACCCGGAGCUCGUCAACUGCCAGAGGCCGGGCACGGCGUCCGACGUGUACAGCUUCGGUGUCGUGCUUCUAGAGAUCGCCUGUGGCAGGCGGCCAACCUCGGGGUUGCUGCUGGCGUAG